CUUCCGCCGGCGACCGGCGCACGGGUGAGUAACACGUAUGCAACCUGCCCCUGUCAGGGGGACAACCCGCCGAAAGGCGGGCUGAACCCGCGUACAUGCCACCGGGGCAUCCCGGAGGCAGGAAAGGCUUCGGCCGGACAGGGAUGGGCAUGCGGCGCAUUAGGCAGUAGGCGGGGUAACGGCCCACCUAACCGACGAUGCGUAGGGGUUCUGAGAGGAAGGUCCCCCACACUGGUACUGAGACACGGACCAGACUCCUACGGGAGGCAGCAG
rnacentral:rRNA from 1 species